UCAGAAGACGCGGACUCCUAUGUGCACUUCGCCAAGGGCGAGGUCCCCAAGCAUGACUACAACUACCCCUACGUGGGUAGGCCCUAGGCGAGGACCUCAAAGACCGCGGGGGCAGUGUGAUCAAGACGCAGGCCCCCCCGGGGCAAGUCCCAGUGGAGGAAGGAGGAGGGCGACAUGUUCAACCUCGAGGAGAACUGGAGGGGCCACUGUCAGGACACGCCCGACUCCGUGAGAACUUGCGUCUACCACGUGAGCUAAUCUUUGGUUCUCCAGCAUCUGCUGUAGACUCUCCCAAAAGACAUGCAGUGGAAGAGAAAGAAGAAAAGAUCUGGCACCAUGUGAUCUCUGACUCUUCUCCAAAAUCAAAGUGACCUUGAAAGAGUGAAAAUAUCUGCCCCCAGUGAGUCAAGGAAACAGGGUUGCACUGCCCUCAAUGCUGUAACACAGAAAGCUGAGGAGCCUGAGGGCUGCCCUGGGAAGCUGACUAGUCCAAAUGGUGCCAAAUGCCAUCCAGUUCUGCAGACUGGGAAGUACAAGGUCAAGAUGCCAGCAGGCUUGGUCUCUGGUUCAAAGAUGGCACCUGUCUUGUUGCUUUGUGAUCAGUGCAAGCAGAAGGAAGGCUACUUCCUCACACUGGAGAAGAACAGAAGAGAGAAACCACUGCACAGGCCCUUCUCACAGUUCCAUGAAUCUAGUUAUGAGCCAUGAUGUCAAUCAGAGUUUCCAUCAGCUUGAGUUUCUGGAUCAGAAAUGCAGAGAGGAAGGGAAGCAGGAAGGAAUAGAAGAGACACCAAACAGAUUCAUCAGGGGGUGCCAGAUGUUCCUACGGCUUAUUCCGUCCUACCUGGCUUCCCAGUUGUGGACCCAGAGCCUGAGAGUGAUCCCCAUGCCCACCACCAGACAUAUGUUGGUGAGCUCUGGGGACAGUGACCACACAGAGGUGUCAGCUUCCCUCGACUUCUAUGUGAGAUUCCCUUCUGUGUCCUACUGUCCCAUCUGGGCAGAUGUAGCAACUUAGUCUACUCGGCUGCUGUGACAAAAUACCAUAGACUGUAUCUAUUAAAAAACG
rnacentral:lncRNA from 1 species